UUAAAUAGGAACCUCAAAAAUAGAUGUA
rnacentral:piRNA from 1 species